rnacentral:rRNA from 1 species
UAGGUAAUCUGCCCUCAGGUGGGGGAUAACCCGGGGAAACCCGGGGCUAAUACCGCAUAUGGCCUUCGGGUCAAAGCCUUCGGGCGCCAGAGGAUGAGCCUGCGUCGCAUUACCUAGUUGGUGGGGUAAAGCCUACCAAGGGGACGAUGCGUAGCUGGUCUGAGAGGAUGAUCAGCCACACUGGGACUGAGACACGGCCCAGACUCCGUACGGGAGGCAG